rnacentral:rRNA from 1 species
CGGACUAAUUGGGGCUUGCUCCAAUUAGUUAGUGGCAGACGGGUGAGUAACACGUGGGAAUCUACCCAUCAGUACGGAAUAACUUUUAGAAAUAAAAGCUAAUACCGUAUAUUCUCUACGGAGGAAAGAUUUAUCGCUGAUGGAUGAGCCCGCGUCAGAUUAGGUAGUUGGUGAAGUAAUGGCUCACCAAGCCGACGAUCUGUAGCUGGUCUGAGAGGAUGAUCAGCCACACUGGGACUGAGACACGGCCCAGACUCCUACGGGAGGCAGCAGUGGGGAAUAUUGGACAAUGGGCGAAAGCCUGAUCCAGCAAUACCGAGUGAGUGAUGAAGGCCUUAGGGUUGUAAAGCUCUUUUAGCAAGGAAGA